rnacentral:rRNA from 1 species
CCCUUAGAUGUUCUGGGCCGCACGCGUGCUACACUGAGUAAUUCAAUGGGUAAGGGAACGUUAGAGCAUUACCUAAUCUUGAAAUUUGCUCGUGAUGGGGAUCGACGGUUGCAAUUUUCCGUCGUGAACGAGGAAUACCUUGUAGGCGCAUGUCAUCAUCAUGCGCCGAAUACAUCCCUGCCCUUUGUACACACCGCCCGUCGCUCCUACCGAUUGAGUGAUCCGGUGAGGCUCUGGGACCUGGACGGAAAGAGCGUUUCGCUUGUUCUGUUUGGGAAACUUGGUCGAACCUUAUCAUUUAGAGGAAGGAGAAGUCGUAACA